UGGGGAAUAUUGCACAAUGGGCGCAAGCCUGAUGCAGCCAUGCCGCGUGUGUGAAGAAGGCCUUCGGGUUGUAAAGCACUUUCAGCGGGGAGGAAGGCGGUGAGGUUAAUAACCUCAUCGAUUGACGUUACCCGCAGAAGAAGCACCGGCUAACUCCGUGCCAGCAGCCGCGGUAAUACGGAGGGUGCAAGCGUUAAUCGGAAUUACUGGGCGUAAAGCGCACGCAGGCGGUCUGUCAAGUCGGAUGUGAAAUCCCCGGGCUCAACCUGGGAACUGCAUUCGAAACUGGCAGGCUAGAGUCUUGUAGAGGGGGGUAGAAUUCCAGGUGUGGCGGUGAGAUGCGUAGAGAUCUGGAGGAAUACCGGUGGCGAAGGCGGCCCCCUGGACAAAGACUGACGCUCAGGUGCGAAAGCGUGGGGAGCAAACAGG
rnacentral:rRNA from 1 species